UUGACGGGGCCCGCACAAGCGGAGGAACAUGUGGUUUAAUUCGAUGAUACGCGAGGAACCUUACCUGGGCUUAAAUGUAGAGUGCAUUUUCUAGAGAUAGGAAUUCCCUUCGGGGCUUUCUACAAGGUGCUGCAUGGUUGUCGUCAGCUCGUGCCGUGAGGUGUCGGGUUAAGUCCCAUAACGAGCGCAACCCUUAUCGUUAGUUGCCAUCUGGUAAAGCAGGGGACUCUAGCGAAACUGCCACCGUAAGGUGAGAGGAAGUGGGGAUGACGUCAAAUCAGCACGGCCCUUAUGUCCAGGGCUACACACGUGUUACAAUGGUCGGUACAGAGGGCAGCUACCUGGUGACAGGAUGCUAAUCUCGAAAACCGGCCUCAGUUCGGAUCGAAGUCUGCAACUCGACUUCGUGAAGCUGGAUUCGCUAGUAAUCGCGCAUCAGCCAUGGCGCGGUGAAUACGUUCCCGGGCCUU
rnacentral:rRNA from 1 species